rnacentral:rRNA from 1 species
ACGGAAGGCAGCAGUGGGGAAUUUUGCGCAAUGGGGGAAACCCUGACGUAGCAACGCCGCGUGCGGGACGGAGGCCUUCGGGCUGUAAACCGCUUUCAGCAGGGAAGACAACGACGGUACCUGCAGAAGAAGCUCCGGCUAACUGCGUGCCAGCAGCCGCGGUAAUACGUAGGGGGCGAGCGUUAUCCGGAUUCAUUGGGCGUAAAGCGCGCGUAGGCGGCUGCCUAAGCGGAGUUUCUAACCUUGGGGCUCAACCUCAAGCCGGACUCCGAACUGGGCGGCUCGAGUGCGGUAGGGGCAGGCGGAAUUCCACGUGUAGCGGUGAAAUGCGCAGAUAUGUGGAGGAACACCGAUGGCGAAGGCAGCCUGCUGGGCCGACACUGACGCUGAGGCGCGAAAGCCGGGGGAGCGAACAGGAUUAGAUACCCUGGUA